GACAGAGGGUGCAAACGUUGUUCGGAAUUACUGGGCGUAAAGCGCGUGUAGGCGGCUAAGUAAGUCGGGCGUGAAAUCCCACGGCUCAACCGUGGAAGUGCACUCGAAACUGCAUAGCUAGAGUCCUGGAGAGGAAGGUGGAAUGCUUGGUGUAGAGGUGAAAUUCGUAGAUAUCAAGCGGAACACCGGUGGCGAAGGCGCCUUCUGGGACAGUGACUGACGCUGAGACGCGAAAGCGUGGGGAGCAAACAGG
rnacentral:rRNA from 1 species